AGAGUUUGAUCAUGGCUCAGAACAAACGCUGGCGGCGUGCCUAAUACAUGCAAGUCGAACGGGGAAAGUAGCAAUAUGAGUACUAGUGGCGCACGGGUGAGUAAUACGUGGAUAAUCUGCCUUCAGGUGGGGGAUAACUAGUCGAAAGAUUAGCUAAUACCGCAUAAGACCACAAGAUCUGAGGAUCAAGGGGUUAAAGGUUUUUCGCCUGAAGAUGAGUCCGCGCGAGAUUAGCUAGUUGGUGAGGUAAUGGCUCACCAAGGCAACGAUCUCUAACAGGUCUGAGAGGAUGAUCUGUCACACUGGAACUGAGACACGGUCCAGACUCCUACGGGAGGCAGCAGUAGGGAAUAUUGCACAAUGGAGGAAACUCUGAUGCAGCGACGCCGCGUGAGUGAUGAAGGCCUUCGGAUCGUAAAGCUCUGUCGCAGGGGAAUAAGACAGUGAAUGUACCCUGAAAGAAAGGAUCGGCUAACUUCGUGCCAGCAGCCGCGGUAAGACGAGGGAUCCAAGCGUUGUUCGGAAUUAUUGGGCGUAAAGCGGGUGUAGGUGGCUUUGUAAGUCAGGUGUGAAAGCCCAGGGCUCAACCCUGAAAGUGCAUUUGAUACUGCGAAGCUUGAGUGUAGGAGAGGUUACUAGAAUAGUUGGUGUAGUGGUGAAAUACGUAGAUAUCAACUGGAAUACCGGAGGCGAAGGCGGGUAACUGGCCUAACACUGACACUCAGACCCGAAAGCGUGGGGAUCAAACAGGAUUAGAUACCCUAGUAGUCC
rnacentral:rRNA from 1 species